GUACUUGCUCCGGCAGCACAUAUACUAAAACUGGAACGAUACGGAGAAGAUCAGCAUGGCCCCUCUGCAAAGGUGAUGUGCAAAUUCGUGAAGUGUUCCAUAUUUUU
ensembl:snRNA U6 U6 spliceosomal RNA